UCUUCUCCUGCACACAAACAAAA
rnacentral:snRNA from 1 species